GUCUUCAUGGUGUAAUGGAAGCAUACUCGACACGUAUUCGAGAGGCCUAGGUUCGAGUCCAGGCGAGGACA
rnacentral:tRNA from 1 species